rnacentral:tRNA from 1 species
GACAGUGUGGUGUAGUGGUUUGAGUGCUAGACUACACCUCUGGAGACCAGGGUUCAAGUCCCUGCUUGGCCA